rnacentral:lncRNA from 1 species
CGCCUGACCUCAACUUUUUGAUGUAGACAUUUAGUACUACAAGCAUUCCUUCUAACACUGCUUUUGCUGCAUCCUAGAGAUUUUGGAUUUGUACCAUAUGUCUAAGUUGUGCAUGCCAAGGAUAAUGGAAACAAGACUGGCGAGGGGAGGCAUGGGUAGGACUUAAAAAUUCCAGAGGUCUGCAAAGGUUUCUUCUCAGGAUAUAUGAAAAACCAUCACAUAUCAUGCUGAAAUCAAGAUAAUAAUACCCUAUACCUGCUUUAAGGCCCAGCAAUUCCACUUCUAUGUAUUUAUCCAGGAGAAAUAAAAACACGUCUACUAAAAGACUCAUACAAGAAUGUUUAUGGAAACCAUAUUCACAAUAACCCCAAGCUGGAAAUGACCCAUAUGUCCAUUAAUAAGAGAACAGAUCAACAAAAUGUGGUAUAUGCAUACAAGGGGAUACUCCUCAGGAAUAAAAAAGGAACAAACUACUGGUAUGUGCAACACAGAUGAGUCUUGAAAACAUAUUGAGUAAAAGAAGCUUUAUAUAAAAGAGUACCUACUGCAUGAUUCCAUUCAUGUGGAGUUCUAGAACAGUUACAACCAACCUAUGGUGCAAAAAAUUAGAACAGUGACCAUCUCUGCGGGUGAGAAAAGGCAACUUUCUAGGAUGAUGAUCAUGUUUUCUAUCUUGAUAGCAGUUUGAGUUAGACAGACGUUAUGGACCAAAUUGUCUUCCCACAAAAUAUGUAUGUGGAAGCUCUAACUCCCAAUGUGACCAUGUUUGGAGACAGGGCUUUUAGGAGAUAGUUAAAUUUAUAUGAGAUUGUAAGAGUGGGGUCCUAAUCCAAUAGGACUGGUGGCCUUAUAAGAAGAGAAUCUCUCUCUCUCUCUCUGUCUGUCUUUCUCUCUUUAUCUCUCAUGAGAACAUAGAAGGCAGACACCUGCAAGCCAGAAAGAGAGCUCGCACUAGAAGCUAACCAUACUUACUCAUGGAUCUUGGAAUCUGAAGCCUCUAGAACUAUGAGAAAAUAAAUAUUGUUGUUUAAGCCACCCAGUCUAUGAUAUUUUGUGAUGGCAGCCUGAGCAGACUAAUGCAACACAUGCAUCCAUAAACACAACAACGUAGCCAGCACUCUGACCAGUGUACCCAAGCAGUCCCCUGUGCUAGCUUCCAGUUACCACCUUCUAAGGUAAACAUGCUCCUGAUU